GCGCAGCGGGCCGGCGAUCGGGGAGUGGGAAGUGCUGGAGCGUCAGGACCCGCGCGGUGCGUCGGUCAGGAAGGCAGAUCAACUCGCGGGCUGGGGGCAGUGCAGAUGGCCUUUGAGGAGGCGAACAAGUAGUGAUCCUGGUGGGACCUCUUGCUGGCUCUGAUGUCCACCAUUUGCCAGAAUCCCUGAGUCCUUUCCCUCUCCUCUGUGUCUACGGUCACCCCCACAUCUCAGCUGAAUAGGUUGAGGGCCUGAGACUUUCUGUCCCGGAAGAGCGCUGAUAAUUAGAAGACCCUGUCUACUCUAGUCCUCACAGAGGGAGGGUUGUGAGGGAUGGGCUAGAUACUUUAUCAGCCAGUGCUGGAGGGAGGCAGGAAGGGGUGGGGGGAAGAGGGUGUGACUUUGGGAGUUGUGACCCUCCCUCACGACCAUACCCUCCCAAUGUGCUGUAGCUGGAACAGACUUUGGCCCCUUUCCAAGCACUGCCGAUGCCUCAUUUGCCUCUGACCUCUUUUCGACCACCGCUUUGGGGCUUGAGGCUCUCACGGGGCCUCCCCAGGUCCCGUCCCCUUUCCACCCAGUCAGAGCCAGAUGGAUCAGCCAUCUCGCGGAGGAACCGUGAAGCCAAACAGAAGCGCCUGCGAGAGAAGCAGGCAUCGCUGGAGGCUGGGAUAGCCCCCAAGAGCAAGUCACCUGCAGAAUCCAGUAAGGCCUGGACCCCUAAGGAGAGAGUGUUGUAUGAAAUCUCCACGGAACAUGGAGAAAAGAAAGAUGUCUCCCGACCCCUGCCUCCUGCAUACAGCCCCCAGUACGUUGAGGCUGCCUGGUACCCUUGGUGGGUGCGAGAGGGCUUCUUCAAACCAGAAUAUCAGGCCAGGCUGCCCCAGGCAACAGGGGAGACCUUUUCCAUGUGCAUCCCACCCCCUAAUGUCACAGGCUCCCUGCACAUUGGGCAUGCGCUGACCGUGGCCAUACAGGAUGCUCUCGUGCGCUGGCACCGGAUGCGUGGGGAUCGGGUGCUGUGGGUCCCUGGCUCAGAUCAUGCAGGGAUUGCGACCCAAGCUGUGGUGGAGAAACAGCUGUGGAAGGAGCGAGGCGUGAGGAGACAUGAGCUGAGCCGGGAAGACUUCCUUAGGGAGGUGUGGAAGUGGAAGGAGGAGAAAGGUGGCGAGAUCUGUGAGCAGCUCCGAGCGCUGGGGGCCUCCCUGGACUGGGACCGAGAGUGCUUUACCAUGGAUACCGGCUCCUCAAUGGCCGUGACAGAAGCUUUCGUGCGGCUCUACAAGGCUGGGUUGUUGUACCGGAGCCGGCAGCUGGUCAACUGGUCGUGUGCCUUACGCUCCGCCAUCUCGGAUAUUGAGGUGGAGAGCCGGCCCCUCCCUGGCCGCACGGAGCUUCAGUUGCCUGGCUGCCCCACCCCCGUGUCUUUCGGCCUCCUCUUUUCCGUGGCCUUCCCCGUGGAUGGAGAGCCUGGUGAGGACGCAGAGGUUGUGGUGGGAACCACGAGGCCAGAGACGCUGCCUGGAGACGUGGCUGUGGCGGUCCAUCCUGAUGACUCCCGCUACACGCAUCUACAUGGGCGACAACUCUGUCAUCCCUUGACGGGGCAGCUUCUCCCCCUUAUCACAGACUGCACUGUUCAGCCACGCCUGGGCACAGGGGCAGUGAAGGUGACUCCAGCGCACAGCCCUGCCGAUGCUGAGCUGGGGGCCCGACACGGCCUGAGCCCCCGGAGUGUCAUUGCGGAGGAUGGGACCAUGACCGCCCUUUGUGAGGACUGGCUGCAGGGUCUUCACCGAUUUGUGGCCCGGGAAAAGAUUCUGUCAGCGCUGAGGGAGCGGGGCCUGUUCCGGGGCCUCCAAAACCACCCCAUGGUGCUGCCCAUUUGCAGCCGUUCCGGGGAUGUGGUAGAGUACCUACUGAAGAGCCAGUGGUUUGUCCGCUGCCGGGAAAUGGGGGAGCGAGCCGCCAAGGCCGUGGAGUCGGGGGCCCUGGACCUUAGUCCCUCCUUCCACCAGAAGAACUGGCAGCACUGGUUUUCCCACAUUGGGGACUGGUGUGUCUCCCGGCAGCUGUGGUGGGGCCAUCGGAUUCCAGCCUACCUGGUUGUAGAAGAACAUGCAAAGGGUGAUACGGAGCACUCCUGGGUGGUCGGGCGGACAGAGGCUGAGGCCAGAGAGGUAGCUGCAGAAUUAACAGGGAGACCAGGGGCGGAGCUGACCCUGGAGAGGGACCCUGAUGUCCUGGACACAUGGUUCUCCUCGGCUCUUUUCCCCUUUUCUGCCCUAGGCUGGCCCCGAGAGACCCUGGACCUGGCUCGUUUCUACCCCCUGUCACUUUUGGAAACGGGCAGUGACCUCCUGCUCUUCUGGGUGGGCCGCAUGGUCAUGUUGGGGACCCAGCUCACAGGGCAGCUCCCCUUCAGCAAGGUCCUGCUUCACUCCAUGGUCCGGGACAGGCAGGGCCGGAAGAUGAGCAAGUCCCUGGGGAACGUGCUGGACCCACGGGACAUCAUCAGUGGGGUGGAGCUGCAGGUACUGCAGGACAAGCUGAGGGAUGGAAACUUGGACCCCGCAGAGCUGGCGAUUGCAGCCUCGGCGCAGAGAAAGGACUUCCCUCAUGGGAUCCCCGAGUGUGGGACAGAUGCUCUGAGGUUCACCCUGUGCUCCCAUGGGGCCCUGGGAGGCGACUUGCACCUGUCCGUCUCUGAGGUCCUGAGCUUCCGACACUUCUGCAAUAAGAUCUGGAAUGCCCUGCGCUUUAUCCUGAAUGCUCUUGGGGAGGAAUUCAUACCCCAACCUGCGGAGGAGCUGUCCCCCGCCUCCCGCAUGGACGCCUGGAUCCUCAGCUGCCUGGCCCGCACGGCCCAAGACUGCGAGCGGGGCUUCCUCGCCCGCGAGCUCUCGCUCGUCACCCAUGCCCUGCACCACUUCUGGCUGCACAACCUCUGUGAUGUCUACUUGGAGGCUGUGAAGCCGCUGCUGUCACACGCUCCCCGCCCUCUGGAGCCGCCUCAGGUCCUGUUCUUCUGUGCAGACGUCGGUCUCCGCCUCCUCGCCCCGUUGAUGCCUUUCCUGGCUGAAGAGCUCUGGCAGAGGCUGCCCCCCAGGCCUGGUGGUCCCUCUGCCCCCAGCAUCUGUGUUGCCCCCUACCCGAGUGCCCGCAGCUUGGAGCACUGGCACCAGCCUGAGCUGGAGAGGCGCUUCUCCCGGGUUCAGGAGUCCGUGCAGGCGCUCAGGGCUCUGCGCGCCACCUACCAGCUCACCAAGGCCCGGCCCCGAGGGCCUGGUGGACCCCCAGACCCACCUACCUCGGCUGGCUGCCCGAAGACACAAGUUGCAGAAGCAGCUUGAUGGCCUCCUAGCCCAGCCCCCAUCCGAGGGACAGGCGGAGACUCAGAGGCAGCAGAGGCUUUCUUCCCUCCAGUUGGAGUUGUCAAAGCUGGACAAGGCAGCCUCUCACCUCCGGCAGCUGGUGGAUGCGUCUCCAAGCCCUGGGGGCUCACCAUCCCCCUGACUUUCCUUCCUCCCAGACCCGCCUUUGAGGCCUCUGGGGACAGACUGGGCAGUGUCGGGAUGUUCUGUGGUCCAGCCCCUUCGUUUUGUCAGUGAGGAAACAGACUGGCUUGGUCAGAUGACUGGGUGACCUCAAGACGCUCACGUGUGUGCCCUGGCCUCCCUCCUCCGCAGUCCCACCUGGAAGUUUGGGAAGGAGGCCACUCAGAUAAACUUAAAAUCCCAAA